rnacentral:rRNA from 1 species
UACGUAGGGCGCAAGCGUUGUCCGGAAUUACUGGGCGUAAAGGGCUCGUAGGUGGCCAACUAAGUCAGACGUGAAAUCCCUCGGCUUAACCGGGGAACUGCGUCUGAUACUGGAUGGCUAGAGAUUGGGAGAGGGAUGCGGAAUUCCAGGUGUAGCGGUGAAAUGCGUAGAUAUCUGGAGGAACACCGGUGGCGAAGGCGGCAUCCUGGACCAACACUGACGCUGAGGAGCGAAAGCGUGGGGAGCAAACAGG